rnacentral:sRNA from 1 species
AAGCUGGCCACCCACAAAGAUGGGGCUGGAUGAAGACAACGAACCAGACAAUGAGGGGUGUAACCUCAGCUGCCUCGUCGCAAUCGGACGACUGCAUUCUCAUGUAGUUCCACAACCAGUGAACGGGGAAAUCAGGGUGAAAUCUAUGGAAUAUGUUUCUCGGCAUGCAAUAGAUGGAAAGUUUGUUUUUGUAGACCAGAGGGCAACAGCUAUUUUGGCAUAUUUACCACAAGAACUUCUAGGCACAUCGUGUUAUGAAUAUUUUCACCAAGAUGACAUAGGACAUCUUGCAGAAUGUCAUAGGCAAGUUUUACAGACGAGAGAAAAAAUUACAACUAAUUGCUAUAAAUUUAAAAUCAAAGAUGGUUCUUUUAUCACACUACGGAGUCGAUGGUUCAGUUUCAUGAACCCUUGGACCAAGGAAGUAGAAUAUAUUGUCUCAACUAACACUGUUGUUUUAGCCAACGUCCUGGAAGGCGGGGACCCAACCUUCCCACAGCUCACAGCAUCCCCUCACAGCAUGGACAGCAUGCUGCCCUCUGGAGAAGGUAACUAUGUGCUGCUGGGGCCCUGGGGCUUGCCUGUGAGAAG